rnacentral:misc_RNA from 1 species
CUUAUUGAGGGCUCUGCCAGCUCCUGAUGAUGUUAAAAGUUGAAAAGAAGAAAUACAAUAAAUGUAUCUUUAGUUCUGCAAAUGUAAAUAGGUUCAACAAAAGUUAUACAGCCUUGUGUUUUCCUUAAAAACCAGAUAUUCCAAGGAAAUGCAUUAAAAUUAAUAAAAUACAAAAGUCUAAUUUCUUUUAUCUUCUUGCCUUUCAGCAAGUCUGAAUAUGCUAAAAUAAAUCUUGCAACAAUUCUAGUAAAAUCCAUCAAAAGAAUAUAUAAUUAGCUCUGUGCAUGUAUAUUAUUAAGGACCACAAUGGUAAAAAUCUAAUGGGAAGAUAUGCCAGCAAGCCCAGAAAUCUGCCCAUGACAAAUAUCAGUCCAAAAAAUCUGCCACUGAAUAAUUUGAUUCAUGAACUAAAACAACCCUACUCCUCAGUCUACAAAAUGAAUAUAAGCAUUCACACACCGACAAAUAGACAACUCCUAAACAUAACAUAACAUAUCAUAUAUGCAAAAGAGCACCAAAUGACUUAAUUUUCCUCUCACACAUACCUACAUAGGGAGGCAUAUCAGACACAGCAUUUCACUGUUGGGCUACAAUACAC